GGCUCGGUGGUGGGUGGCCCAAAUGCGCGUCUUAGAGCACAAAUAGCGCAGCGCAGAUGCAGCCUGUUCGAAUCAGGCCCGAGCCG